CUGUGGCUCUUCCUUGGGUUCAGUGUCUUCCAUGGCGCAGUGCUUGUCCUCUGCCUCCUCCUCGUCACUCCUGGUUGGCCGCUAAUCCUCCACUCCUCACAGGUCGAUGCUGCCUCCUGGCCCUGGUGGUAGUCCUCCUAAGCUGAUCACUGGGUUAGGACGGUGUUCAGGAUGUAGCCAGUGAUGGGUUAUGGUGUUGAAGUCAAAUGUUCAGUUUUAUCAAUGGAGUUUGUAGAGGUUGAGUGUUGGAUGAAUAUGUUUUUGAAGCUUAUAGAAGAGUAUGAUUCUGAAACUUGGCUUGGCUUGAAGAAAAAGAAGAAGAGGAAGAAGAAGACAAGCCAAAUGUUCAGUUUUAUCAAUGGAAUUUGUAGAGGUUGAGUGUUGGAUGAAUACAUUUUUGAAGCUUAUAGAAGAGUAUGAUUCUGAAACUUGGCCUUAGAGAAAAGUUGAAAAAUGACAAAAAAAUAAAUAAAAUGUUCAGUUUCAUCAGUUAAAUGUGAUCUUGAAAAUUAAGGCAAAUGAAGCAAAGUUGAAAAAUGUGAAGACUAGGAAAGGAAGAUCACAGUCAAAAAUGUUCAGCUUCAUCAAUUAAAUGUGAUCUUGAAAAUUAAGGCAAAUGAAGCAAAGUUGAAAAUGUGAAGACUAGGAAAGGAAGAUCACACACAGUCUUGAUAUAAAAAAGUUCGGAUGUCCUUCCCCUCCCCUCCUCACCCCACCCUGGCAGGCAAGAAUACAGUGGUCAAAGGUCAACUUUUAUUAUAAAAUAAAUAGUAAAUGGUUCUUGAAGCACUAAACGUGAAACAAACGUGUAGGUAACUGGCAUCGUCCACCUGUGCUGCGGGUGGACAGGUAACACAGUACAGUCGUCGCUCAAAUAGUACGGUUUCCAAUAGUCCGGUUUUGGUUUUAUGUGGAUUUUCAUAGAAGGUUUUUUUAGGAUUUUUGAAUUUCCCGAUGAGCAGGAAAUUGAUCAAGUUUCUUAAUGGUCCCUCCAAGCGAGAAAAAUGAAAAACAAUCACCCCUCACACAAACCAUUUCAUAAUAUAUAUCAAAGCAUUUGUGAUCAGUUUAUGCAUCAUCUAUUUUGAGGGGUUUAUAUCAUGGCACAAAUUUGGCCCGUCGCUACUACACGGUAAAGCCACAAAUUUGGCCCGUCGCUGCUACAUGGUAAAGCCACAAAUUUGGCCCGUCAUUGCUACACAGUAAAGCCACAAAUUUGGCCCGUCGUUGCUACACGGUAAAGCCACAAAUUUGGCCCAUCACUGCUACACGGUAAGGCCACAAAUCUGGCCCGUCGCUGCUACACGGUGAAGCCACAAAUUUGGUCCGUCACUGCUACACGGUAAAGCCACAAAUUUGGUCCGUCGCUGCUACCGGGUUAAAAAUCCUAAAAAGAUCUUCCGUGACAAUCCGUAUAAAACCAAAACCGAACUAUUGAAAACCUUACUAUUUGAGGGGCGACUGUAAUAAUCAUCUUCAGCCUUUCUCUCGGCCUUCACUAAAACCAAUCAUAAAAGUAAAAAAAUACUACAACAGCGACUUCAUUUUAUAGUGUCCUUAAUUAACGUGGUACAGCAGCGGGGAUGUAUUUACAAGACUUGCGGCUUAGGGCGAGGGAGAGCCACGCA